GCGGGUGUCGUAUAGUGGCUAAUAUACUAGCCUUCCAAGCUAGGGACGAGAGUUCGAUUCUCUCCACCCGCACCA
rnacentral:tRNA from 1 species